rnacentral:lncRNA from 1 species
CUAAUUCAAAGCAGUACAGGGAAGAAUCACAUCUCAGUCCAGUGCAGCAGGAUCCCCUGGAAAACUACUCAGCACUGGGCCCAGGAAGGAUUUGGCCUUCCUGACCACAUGCAUUUGCAAGUGGGGACCAAACAGAUGUGCCUCAUACAUGUGGUGUUGCACCAGGAGGUUACCAGUUUGGUAUCUGCACCACUUCUCUCUCAAAGGCACAACAUCCCAUUGUGAAAGGGUCAUCUCAGAGCACCACGACGCUUGGCCUCUAUGCCCUAUAUCUGGAGGACCCAAGAAGACCAGGACUUGAUGCCAUUACACUGGCACUGGCUGUGAAACCCUCAGGUGGGCGGAAGAUGGUGCUUUUGGAGAGCCUCCACAGUCUGAGUGCAGCCUGUUUUCAGUGUCCUCGGAGAUAAGAGAUCACGGAGGCAGAAGGAGCUGCACAGGGCCAGGACCUGACCAGGAUUGGAUGCUCACUGAACACACUGGUUUUCCAGCAGAAACAUAAGCACCUCCAGGGACCAGGUCAAAACUCCCCCAGCAGCAGAGCAACAGCGUAGUGGGCCUAUGGUGCCCUAGUGCCUAGAGCACUGGUUCUCACCUUUUUUGAAACUGAGGACCCCCUCCCUAACUCUGGUAAAUUGAGUGGCACCUCAUUUCAAUAACUAAUUUUUAGAUCAGAGUGCUUGCUUCCUUGCAGAGGAGUCUGGCAGUGGGGAUGGGGGAUUGUCCAGCCAGGGACAGCACUGAGCCUGCACUUACCUGCUUAGUUUAUCAGCUUAUCUCCUCACAGCUCAAGCAUCCUUCAAAAGAUGGAGUGGCGCCCUAGGGUGCCCAUUUGAGAAUCACUGGCUUAGAGGGUAAAGCAGGACGCAUGAGGAAGUGAAUUCACCUGGGGGAGGCUGUGCAGAGAGUACACUGAGGGCAGGAAUGAUUGCAUGCAUUUAUCGGAGCAUUGUCAUGGAGUUUUGUGUUAAUGUUUAAUCAUUGCCAUCUGUCUGUCUCUCCAGUAAAAUUAACAAUGAUGUUUGGGGACAGUAUGCGCCUUGGGAUGUUUUUAAACCAACCCACAGGAGUGAUGAAGAUGUGGACUGAAGAGCCGUUGAGCCGAGGGGCCAUCAAAGGACCCAUGAUGGCUUCCCACAAUGUGAAUAAUUGGCAGACUUCUACUGGUGGGGAAGGCCCAUCACAGAGAGGUAGCAGCACCAGGAAGCAGAUGCAACUUCCUUGGGAAUCCAACAAAUGGCCAAUGCUGACCAAGAGGAGGAAGCCAACUAUAACCUUUUAUUCUGCAGCCAAUUUCUCUGUGACUGAAAGCAGCUUUUUAUGCUCAUAACAGCCCACCCCUAACUUCUGUUCCUGUUUGAAGUGAAAUUCCUCCCCCUGCAGAGAGAGUCAGCAUGAGGCCUACACACCACUAUUAGGUGGAUGCGGAUGGGACAGAGCCACACAGCUGACCUUCUACACAAAGAUUAAUUGACUUGGUGGCAACAGGAUUGGACCAUGUGUUGCAACCAUCUCUUUGUUCACCAACAGUCUUUUGUAACAUGUUAACUUCUUCUAGGAAAUGCUGUUGCUGCUGUUAUUUUUCAGACCUCAGAUUGAUAAUACAUUGAAUUGCAUGGUUUAGUAUGGCUAUUCUAUUUCUUUAUGCCAGAUCCUAAUAAAAUCUACACAAAAAAGUAUAAAUCUAUUAUA